rnacentral:rRNA from 1 species
UGGUGUUACUGCGAAGGGGGGACGGAGAAGGCUAGGCUAGCCGGGCGACGGUUGUCCCGGUUUAAGCAUGUAGGCGGAGCGACUUGGUAAAUCCGGUUGCUUAUCAACGCUGAGGUGUGAUGACGAGCCACUACGGUGGUGAAGUAGUUGAUGCCAAGCUUCCAGGAAAAGCCUCUAAGCAUCAGGUAACAUUAAAUCGUACCCCAAACCGACACAGGUGGUCAGGUAGAGAAUACUCAGGCGCUUGAGAGAACUCGGGUGAAGGAACUAGGCAAAAUGGUGCCGUAACUUCGGGAGAAGGCACGCUGGCAUUAGGUAAAGAGACUUGCUCUCGGCGCCGAAGCCAGUCGCAGAUACCAGCUGGCUGCAACUGUUUAAUAAAAACACAGCACUGUGCAAACACGAAAGUGGACGUAUACGGUGUGACGCCUGCCCGGUGCUGGAAGGUUAAUUGAUGGGGUCAGCCGCAAGGCGAAGCUCUUGAUCGAAGCCCCAGUAAACGGCGGCCGUAACUAUAACGGUCCUAAGGUAGCGAAAUUCCUUGUCGGGUAAGUUCCGACCUGCACGAAUGGCGUAAUGAUGGCCAGGCUGUCUCCACCCGAGACUCAGUGAAAUUGAACUCGCUGUGAAGAUGCAGUGUACCCGCGGCAAGACGGAAAGACCCCGUGAACCUUUACUAUAGCUUGACACUGAACAUUGAGCCUUGAUGUGUAGGAUAGGUGGGAGGCAUUGAAGUGUGGACGCCAGUCUGCAUGGAGCCAACCUUGAAAUACCACCCUUUAAUGU